UGAGCUAAUUUCAUAUCUAAAAGACUAAAAGAAGGUUACAAAUGGUACUUGGCAAGAGAAAUGUAGAGACCCGAAUCUUUUCGGGUCGACCCGGAACACAACUCUAGGUUUGCAGCCAUGGCCAUGUCUUCAUUUUCUUGUUUUUAUCAAAAAAUUCUGAGCUUUAAUUUGCUCUUGUAGCUCUUGUUUGGAUGGUUAUUAACUAUUUGGCCAUAGAUUGUCAUUCUAAGCUCCUGUUUGGCCAUAGAUUGAAAAAAAAGGUUUGAAAACAUUGGUUGUUCAUGGAAUUUGAUCAGUUUCUGGAAAAAAAUUGAAGAAAAAUUUUCAAGGUGAAUUUUUUUUUUCAUAAAUGCAUGUUCAAACAUAGAGUCAAGUUCCAAAAAUUGUUUUUGUGGUGAAUUUUAUCAGUGUUUGGUUUACUAAUGUAGCUCUCUGAGAAGAAUAAAGUUGGGAAAAUUAAGAAUUUUCAUAAAAGGGUGUGUUUGGAAUGAAGGAGAAAUGUCUUUUUUUUUUUAUUUUUUUUUAUGUGAUGAAUUUCAUCAGUGUUUGGUUUACUAAUGUACCCCUCUGAGAAUAAAGAAAGUUGGGCUUUUUUUUUUUUUUUUUUUUGGUGAAAACUAAUAAUUUUCCUAAAAAAAGUUAGCCCAUAUAGAGUAAUGAGGUUAAUUUUUGUCUUGUAGUUCUUGUUUGGAUGGUUGUUACCUAUUGUAUUGUUAUGCUAAAAUGGUAUGUUUGGUAUGAAGAUUAGAUUUUUUUUUAUUUUUUUUUUGUGGUGAAUUUCAUUGGAGUUUGGUUACUAAUGUAGCCCUCUGAGGAGAAGAAAGUUUGGAACUUUUUUGGUGAAAGCUAAGAAUUUUCCUAAAAAAAGUAAGACCAGAAAGAGAAAUUAAGAGACCGGUAUCUUGGCGGGGCGACUCGGAAUGCAACCCGAGGUUUGCAGCCAUGGCUAUGUCUUUAUUUUAUUGUUUUAUCAAAAUGAUCUGAGCUUUAAUUUACUCUUGUAGCUCUUGUUUGGAUGGUUGUUACAUAAUUUAUUGUGUUGUUAUUCUAAAAAUGUGUCUUUGGUAUGAAGGAAAACGUUUGAUCAGUGUUUGGUUUACUAAUGUAGCCCUCUGAGAAGAAGAAAGUUUGGAUUUUUUGGGUGAAAACUAAGAAUUUUCCUAAAAAAAUGUUAGCCCAGAAAGAGAAAUGAGGUUAAUAGAGAGAAGAGAUUUCUUGUUAAGGGUGGUUGCCCCUCUCUGUUGUGCCAAUGAUUUCUCAUAUGAAAAAAAUAAAAAAUAAAAUCAAACAACCCUUGAAAUUUUGAGUCAAAGUGGUCCUUUAAGUUAUGGAGUUGAGCUAAGUUCAUCUCACAAAGAAGAGCUUGAGAGAAUCCUGAGGUUACAAUUAAUACUUGGCAAGAGAAAUUAAGGAGACCCGUAUCUUGGCGGGGCAACCCGGAUCUGAACCUGAGGUUUGCAGCCAUGGCGAUGUCUUCAUUCUCUUGUACCAGACUAAUGGGUUUUUACAAUUUAAUCUGGUGAGAAAAUGACAAGAAUGGUCUCUUAUGUUUGAAGGUAGGUUCAAAAUAGCUCCUUAAGAAAGUUGGGAAAUUUUCUGGUGAAAACUAAGAAUUUUCCUAAAGAAAGUUAGCCCAGAAAGAGAAAUGAGGUUAACAGAGAGGAGGGAUUUUCUUCUAAGGGUGGUUGCCCCUCUCUGCAACUCCAGUGAUUUCUCUUAUGAAAAAGGAAAAAUCAAACAGCCCUUUAAAUCGCAGGGAAAAAUUGUUCUUAAUGUUAUGGAGUUGAACUAAAUUCAUCUCACAAAGAAGAGAGAGAGAAUUCUGAGGCUGCAAUGAUACUUGGUAAGAGAAAUUAAGAGACCCGAAUCUUGGCGGGGCGACCCGUUUUUGUGUCAUGUAACCGAGGUCUGCAGCCAUGGCAUGUCUUUGUUCUCUGGAUUUACAACAGAUGAGCUUCAGUUUUACCCUUAAGGGCAUCUCUGGUAUGGAGGAAUAUGUUUUUUUUUUUUUUUUUUUAAAUUUUUUUUUUGGGAAAUUAUCAGGUGAGAGCCAAUAAUUUGCUAAUGAAAUUUAGCCCAGAAAGAGAAAUGAGGUUAAUAGAGAGAAGGAAUUUUUUGUUAAGGGUGGUUGCCCCUCUCUGUUGUGCCAGUGAUUUUCUUUUCAGUAACUAAACCAACAGCCCUUGAUCAUGAAGUACACAAACAAAUUGAAACAUAUGCUCAGCCGUAGAUCUCAGUGUGUGUGUUGCUUUUUCCCCCUUUUGGAGUAAUUGUGCAAAAAAGGAUGUGAUGAUGGUAAUGUUUUACUCUCUGGGCUAACAAAAUCGGGCAUUGAGGACAGUCCGACCCGUAUCUCUUCCUGGCAAAUCCCAGGAUGGCAUGCAACUGAGGCUCUCUCUUUUGCAUGCAACCGGUGAUUUUGCAGUCAUGGCGUGGUUGCCUUCCCUUUGUCCAAGCAAAAACGCAGUAUCUGAGCCUCAAAUUUUUGUGCUUUAAAGGGUCGUUUGGUUGUUGGUUAGGAUGCGAGUUAUUCGUGUUAGGAUGAUUAUUUCCCCCUUUGGAGUAUUUGUGCAAAAGAGCUUUCAUGAUGGCAAUAUUUUACUUUCUGGGCUAACAAAAUUGGACAUUGAGGACAGUCCGACCCAUAUCUUGGCUUGGCAAUCCCAGGAUGGUGUGCAACUGAGGCUCUCUAUUUUGCAUGCCCAAGUUUACCCUUUACUGAAAUGGAUUUAUUACUAUGGCACGAAGAAUAAACUCUAAUUGUAAAUGCCGAACCAGAACUGGAAGUAGCAACGAAAGAGAUAAAAGGAAUACCAUUGCGCAGAGAAAUUCUCGUCAUCUUCAAUGAAUUGGUGGAAAUUUUUCAGCGGAUGUAAGAGAGAGAAAGAGAGAAUUCUGAGGCUGCAAUUGAUACUUGGCAAGAGAAAUUAAGAGACCCGUAUCUUGGCGGGGCGACCCGGAAUGCAACCCGCGGUUUGCAGCCAUGGCGAUGUCUUUAUUCUCUUGUUUAUUCAACAGAUAGGAGCUUCAAUUUUACUCUUGUAGCUCUUGUUUGGAUGGUUGUUACCUAUUGUAUUGUAUUUUUAUGCUAAAAGGGUGUGUUUGGUAUGAAGGAAAUUGUUUCUUUUAUGAUGAAUUUCAUCAGUGUUUGGUUACUAAUGUAGCCCUCUGAGAAGAAUAAUGUUGGGAAAUUUUCUGGUGAAAACUAAGAGCCCGUUUGGAUUAGCUUAUAAGUUGCUGAAAACAGAAGUUAGCCCAGAAUAGAAAUGAGGUUAACAGAGAGGAGGGAUUUUCUUCCAAGGGUGGUUGCCCCUCUCUACAACUCCAAUGAUUUCUCACAUAAAAAAAGGAAAAAAAUAAAUAAAAAUCAAACAACCCUUGAAAGGAUUGACUCAAAAUGGUCCUUUAAGUUAUCAAAAAAAAAAAUAUAUGUGUAUCAAAAAAUGGUCCUUUAAGUUAUGUAGUUGAGCUAAGUUCAUCUCACAAAGAAGAGAUUGAGAGAAUUCUGAUGUUGCCGUUGAUACUUGGCAAGAGAAUAUUAGAGAUCCGUAUCUUGGCGGGGCGACCCGGAACUCAACCCGAGGUUUGCAGCCAUGGCGAUGUCUUUAUUUUCUUGUUUUAUAAACAGAUCUGAGCUUUAAUUUUAGUCUUGUAGCUCUUGUUUGAAUGGUUGUUACCUAUUGUAUUGCGUUAUUAUGCUAAAAGGGUGUGUUUGGUAUGAAGGAAAAUGUUUUUUGUUUUGUCAUAAAAAAAAAAUGUUUUUGUUUGAAGAAAGUUGGGAAAUUUUUAGGCGAGGGCCAAGAAUUUUCUUUAAAAAAAAUUCUGGCCAGAGAGAGAAAUGAGGUUAACAGAAAAGGGAUGUUCUGUUAAGGGUGGUUGCCCCUCUCUGUUGUGCCAAUGAUUUUCUUUUUAGCAACUAAACCAACAGCCCUUUGUUCAUGAAAAAUAUGCAUGCAUUUUCUUCAAUCUACAGCUUCAGCUGUAUAUCUCAGUGUGUGUGCUUCUGUUUCCUCCUUUUGGAGUAAUUGAGCAAAAGAGGCUGUGAUGAAGAUAAUGUUUUACUGUCUGGGCUAACAAGGGCAUUGAGGACAGUCCGACCCGUAUCUUGGCUUGGCAAAUCCCAGGAUGGCCUGCAUCUGAGGCUCUCUUUGGCAUGCAACUGGUGAUUUUGCAGCCAUGGCGUGGUUGCCAUCUCUUUGUCCGAGCAAAAAUGCAGUAUCUGAGCCUCAAAUUUUUGUGCUUUAAAGGGUCGUUUGGUUGCUGGUUACGAAGCGAGUUAUUCGUGUUAGGAGGAUUAUUUCCCCCUUUGGAGUAAUUGUGCAAAAGAGCUGUCGUGAUGACAAUGUUUUACUUUCUGGGCUAACAAAAUUGGGCAUUGAGGACAGUCCGACCCGUAUCUUGGCUUGGCAAAUCCCAGGAUAGCGUGCAACUGACGCUCUCUCUUUUGCAUGCAACUGGUGAUUUUGCAGCCAUGGCGAGGUUGCCUUCCCUUUGUCCAAGCAAAAAAGCAGUAUCUGGGCCUCAAAUUUCUGAAAAUCGAACCGGGGACCUCUUGUGCUUUGAAAUACAUUAAAGUUUGCUCCAAUUAGAAUGAUAUACAGUCAGACCUCUCUAUAACAUCCAUUCGCUAUAAUAACAUUUCACUAUAACAACCAAGUCUCUGGAUUGUUCUCUAUAAUAGCAUUUCGCUAUAACAGCCAAGAAAUGUCUACACAAACGAUGCCAUUAUAAAAAAGUUCUACUGGAUCACAGAAAGAUGGGUACUUUAUCUGCUUCUUAGAUAUAAGCCUAUGAUUUCGGAGACAAUUUAACCGAAGAGACCCAGUAAGUCUGCAUUUAAGCCAAAAGCACUUUGCUUUCUCAGUGAAUGUUGUUGAUAGAUAGAUAUAUAAAUAGAGAAUAUGAGGCUAUGAUGAUAGUUUCUUCCCUUUUUUUGAGCAACUCAAUAGGGCAAGAAAAUAGAGAGACCGUAUCUUGGCGGGGCAACCCAGAUGGCUAGUUAUUUUGUGUCAUGCAACCGGUGUUUGCAGCCAUGGCGUUGCCUUCAUUCUCGUCUUAUCAACAGAUCUGAGCCUCAAAAAUACUCUUAUGGCGUCUUUGGUAUGAUGGAAAACAUUUUUCUUGAUGAAAUCAGCACUUGGACCAACGUAUCCUUAUGAGGAGAAAAGUUGUGAAAUUUUCAGGUGAGAGCCAAUAAUUCCUAAAAAAAAUAAAAGUCAGCCAGAAAGAGAAAUGAGGUUAAUGGAGAGACGGGAUUUUCUUCUAAGGGUGGUUGCCCCUCUCUGUUGCGCCAAUGAUUUUCUUUAGCAUACUAAACCAACAACCCUUGUUCAUGAAAUACUCAGAAGCAGAAGAUGAUCCAUAUAGCUCAGUAAGUGUAUUCUUGGGGGAUUUGCACUAAUGACCUUUUUUGUGGUAGUGAUGAUAAUGAUAUCACAUUCUGGGUUGACAAAUGGGGCAUUGAAGACAAUCCGACCCAUAUCUUGGCCUGGCAAAUCCAAGGAUGGCGUGCAACUGAGGUUCUCUCUUUUGCAUGCAACCUGUGAUUUUGCAGCCAUGGCGUGGUUGCAUUCUCUUUAAGUGGUCGUUUGGUUGCUGGUUAGGGGAGGAGUUAUUCAUGUUAGGAGGGUUUUUUCUAAGGGUGGUUGCGCCUCUCUGCAACUCCAGUGAUUUCUCUAUAUGAAAAAAAAAAAAUGAAAAAACUCAACCAACCCUUUAAAUCUGAGGGAAAAAUCAUUCACACCCUGUUGAGAUUUUUGACUCAAAUGAUCCUUUAUGUUAUGGAGUUGAUCUAAUUUCUUCUCACAAAGAAGAGAGAGAGAAUUCGGAGGCUGUGAUGAUACUUUCUUAUUUUCUUUGGGGCAAGAGAAAUUAAGAGACCCGUAUCUUGGCGGGGUGACCCGGAAAGCAACCCGAGGUUUGCAGCCACGGCGAUGUCUUCAUUCUCUUGUUUUAUCAACAAAUCUGAGCUUCAGAUUUAGUCUUGUAGCUCUUGUUUGGAUGGUUGUUACCUAAUGUAUUGUUACGCUAAAAGGGUGUGUUUGGUAUGAAGGAAAAUGUUUUUUUAUGAUGAAUUUCAUCAAAGUUUGGAUACUAAUGUAGCCCUCUUAGAAGAAGAAAGUUGGGAAAUUUUCUGGUAAAAACUAAGAAUUUUCCUAACCACCAACCCCCCCCCCCCCCCCCCCCCCCCCGCCGCAAAAUACCCGUUUGGGUGGUUCAUUAUUGUAUUGUUUUCAUUGAAGGAAGGAAAAAUCAAACAGCCAUGGCGAUGUCUUAUCAACAGAUCUGAGCCUCAAACUCUUAUGGCACCUUUGGUAUGAUGGAAAACACUUUUCCUGAUGAAAUCAGCACUUGGACCAAUGUAUACCUAUGAGAAGAGAAAAGUUGUGAAAAUUUUCAGGUGAGAGCCAAUAAUUCCUAAAAACAAAAGUCAGCCAGAAAGAGAAAUGAUGUUAAUAGAGAAACGGGAUUUUCUUCUAAGGGUGGUUGCCCCUCUCUGUUGUGCCAAUGAUUUUCUUUAGCAAUACUAAACCAACAGCCCUUGUUGAAAUACUCAGAACAACAGCUAUGAGCAUUGGAACAUAUGCUUCUUCAGUCUGCGGCUUCAGCAUAUAUGUGUGUGUAUUUCUGUUUUCCUCCUUUUGAGUAAUUGUACAAUAGAGGCAGUGAUGAUAAUAAUCUUCCACUUACUGGGCUAACAAAAUCGGGCAUUGAGGACCAUCCGACUGUAUCUUGGCCUGGCAAAUCCCGGGAUGGCCUGCAUUUGAGCCUCUCUCUUAGUCUCUUUUGCAUGCCACCAGUGAUUUUGCAGCCAUGGCGUGGUUGUGUGCUCUUUGUUCGGGCAGAAUUCAGUAUCUGAGCCUCUAAUUUCUAUGAAUCGAACUUGGGACCUGUUGUGCUUUGAAUAAUAUUAACAUUUGCUCCAAAUGUUAGUUCUACAGAUCAAAAGAAUGAGGUGUCACAUAAAGAUGGGUACUUUUUCUUCUCAGGAAUUUCAAUCCGAAAGCACUUUGUUGUCUCCAUUAAUACUCACUGGAUUGGGAAUUUGAACUGAAACGUCAAUCGAACACGCAACACAACUUUCUGAUCUGGAGUCAAACGUGCUACUAUUACGCCAUGAAUCCUUAUGGUGUCUUUAUAGGAUUGAAAGUAUUUUUUCUGGAUGAAAUCAGUAUUUAGUUAGCAAUGUGUCCUGCUGUGGAUAACCGAGUGAAGGGAUUUUCUUCUAAGGGUGGUUGUUCCUCUCGGUUGUGCCAAUGAUUUUCUUUAGCUACUAAACCAACAACCCUUGUUCAUGAAAUAUUCAGAACCAGAAGCUAUGAAGCCAUAUAUCUUAGUGUGUGCGUGUGUGUAUUUUUUUCCUUCUUUCAAGUUUAUCUUUUUCAUGAUGAAAUCAGUAUUUGGUUACGGAUGUAUCCCUCUAAGAAGAGAAAAGUUGGGAAUUUUCAGGUGAGAACCAAGAACUUUCCAGAAUGAAGAAGUCAGCCCAGAAAGAGAACUGAGGCUAACAGAGGGAGGGAAUUUUCUUCUAAAGGUGGUCACCCCUCUCUGUUUGGCCCAAUGAUUUCUUUAGCAACUAAACCAACAGCCCUUGUUCAUCAAAUACUCAGAAAGGUCACUCUGAUCAUGGAAAAACAAGCAUUAAUCUUCAUCUGUUUUUGGUCUGCAGCUUUAGCAUAAACUUGUGUCUGUGUGUGUGUCUUUUUGGCAUAUAUCUUUUUCCUCUUUUUGAGUAAUAGAGGCAGUGAUGAUGUUUCAAUUUCUGGGCGGACAAAAUUGGGUAUUGAGACAGUGCAACCCGUAUCUUGGCUUGGCAAAUCGACUGGUGAUAUUGCAGCCACAGCGUGUUUGCCUUCUCUUGGCCUGAUCAAAAUGCAGAUCUGAGCCUCAAAUUUCUGCGAAUCGAACCCGGCUCCUCAUGUUCUUUGAAAUCUAUUAAUGUUUGGUCCAAAUUUUAGCCCAAGCUUCAGACCAAAAGAAUGAGGUGUCAGAGAAGAUGGGUACUUUUUCUUCUCUGGUAAGCCCAUGAUUUCAAAACCAAAAGCACUUUUCUUUCUCAUUGACCGUGGUUGAUAGAUAUAUAGAUAGAAUUUUUUUCUGAUUCCAUGCAAACCCAAAUCAAUCUAUCGACUAUGCUCAAUCCCGGGACACAUGAUUGGAAAUGCCAUUGGAAGGAAUUGAACCUUCGACCUUGUGGUUAAUAGCGACAUGCUCUAACCAACUGAGCUACACCACGCAAGCCCAAAGUGGAUGAAAAAAAGAUAAAUAAAUAAAUGACGGGGCUAUGAUGAAAUUCUUCCUAGAAAAUGAAAUGAAGCAUUCAGAUAAUUUGAGCCGUAGCUUGGCAGGGCGACCUGUUAGCGUCUAUGGUAACAUGCUAAAGGCUUGCAGCCAUCAUGGUGCUGAAUCCGGCAUGCCAAUGAUUUCUUUGUUGCUCCAACCAACAGCUCCUUUUUGUAGGUUUUUGCUGUCUACAGUGGAUGGAAUUUCAACCCAGAAUAAAGAAUGAGGCCAACAGGGAGAAGGGAUUUCUUGGAGGGUGGUUGCCCUCUCUGCUUGGCCUAUGAUUUCUCCAUCUACCAAACCAACAACCCUCUUCAGAAAAAAACAGGCAAGUAUGUUUGGUGAUUCUGAUAGUCGAGAUGCUAUCUUUUUGAGUUUAAGCCUUGAGGCAAUGUUUUUGGUCCAAAACAUCCCCAGAUCUGAAGGUUGCGUUUGUUUGAUGAGAAUUUUUUAACAUGUCCAAAUGGCUCCUAGAACUAUGGAAAAGUUCCCAUUUCUCAGAGGUAAUGAUGAUACUGCUAAUCCCUGCUGAAGUUCGGGGCAUGGAGACAGUCUGACCCGUAUCUUGGCAGGGGAAACCUGGAUGGUUUGGGAUUGAGGCCUUCUCUUUCACGUGCAACCGGCUGCUUGCAGCCAUGGCGUGUUGUUGCCUACUCUUUGCCCCGUUUUACGCAGAUCUGAGCCUCAAUAUCCAACUAGUACAUCUGGAUUUUUUGGGUCUCGAACCCAGAAUCUCUCGUUUGGUGAAAAACAUUUGGGUUAUUCAAUUUUUCUUAAACACCUUCUUGCUGUUCUCCAUCAAACUUUUAGCUCAAACAAUUGAGGCAAUUGGAGAAAAAAAAAAAGGGAUCUUUUAGGGUGGUUGACCAUCUCCAACAUUCCUAUGAUUUCUAUUCUCUUUAAGUUCUCACAAACAGCUCUUUUUGUUUGUGUGUGUUUGUUAAUCAACCCCCAUACAUUAGGGACCAUAUUGAUUAUUUUUCUUUUGAUGUGGUGUACAAUUAUCGUACUAGUGUGGAGACCCAAAUCACCGCAUUGAGCGCAGAUUUUCGUCACAGAAACCCAAAGGGAAGGCACUAGCUGGGAAUCAAACUCGGAUCUGUACUGCGGCAGGGUACUAUCUACCAGUAGACCACUGGUACAAGGGACAGAUCAUUUUAUCUCUGUUUUCUGCUACUGUUAUACUCUGUUCCUCAGAGGCUGCAUUGGCAAAGCAACAGCAGAACUAUAUGACAAUGAAAUGGAAAAGAAAAUGAUGGGGCUGUGAGAUUGAUUGUUAUUGAGCGUAUGGAACCUGGCAUUGUAGUUUCAGACCUGUAUCUUGGCGGGGCAACCCGUAUUAUAGGGUCUGCAGCCAUGGCAGUGUCAAAGAACUCAUUGCCUGAGAUAAUUACCUAGCUGAGCCUCAAGUCUUUUGAAAUGGCUGAAUAUAUUGACGGCCCCUCAAACUUGCAGAAAGUUUUCAUCUAGAUGCACGUUGCCGAAGUUGUCCAAACAGGCUCUUAUGGAAAAGUUUCCAUUUUUCAGAAGAGGCAAUGAUGAUAUUGCUAAUCUUGGCUGAAAUUUGGGGCAUGGAGAAAAUCUGACCCAUAUCAUGGCAUGGAAAACCGGGAUGGUUUGUGAUUGGGGCUUCUCUUUUACAUGCAACCGGUUUCUUUUGCAGUCAUGUUGUUGUUGCCUUCUCUUUUCCCCAUUUUAGGCAGAUCUGAGCCUCAAUUUCCAAUUAGAGCCUGUUUGGAUGGGCUUAUGCCUAUAAGCUGCAAACAACUUAUAAGCUAAAAAAAAAUAAGUUGGGGUAGUCUAACUUUUUUUUUUUGGCUUAUAAGCUCUUUUCAGCUUAUAAGCUGCUUUAGAUAAGCUAAGUCAAAUGGGCCCAAUUAUUUUUUUGAGCUUAUUUUAAGCACAAAAUGACUUUAAGCUGGCCAACCAAACACUCAAAAAAGCUGAAAACAGCUUAUAAGCAACUUAUAAGCCAAUCCAAACGGGCUCUUAGUCUUUAAAUAGGGGGCCCAAAACGGCUAUUUGUGUCGUCCCCCACUUUAUUUGCAUUGAGCAAAUUCAGCCGUAUCUUGGUGGGGCGACCUGGUAUGACAUCAUCUGUAAACCGGUGUCUGCAGCCAUGGCGUGUAUCACUUUCUCUUUGCAUAGAUCAAAGAACAGCAAAAUUUGAGCUCUAAAGUCACAGCACUCCCAUUUUAUGGUCUUGAAUUGGAUGGCCGUUCUCUGGAACCUGAAUCCCACUCGGGUUCUUCAGUUUUUCUUGAAUAACCCAGUUGAGGUGCUGUUCUCCAUCAAAUCUUAGCUAAAAAGUGAGACAAUAGGUGAAAAAUGGGAUUAUUCACCAUCUCCAGCAUGCCAAUGCGUCUCUUCAGCUCUAACUAACAGGCCUUUGUGUAUAUAUAUGUAUGUGUAUUAACUACACAAAAAAAAGUGGAGGUUCUGCCCAACAUGAAUACUGAGGCCAACAGAGAGACAAGGGAAUUCUUGGGAAUACGUCAACCAAAAGAACAACCCUCUUCAGAAGUACUAGUACUGCUUUCUGAUUUCUCUGAACUUAAACCCAACAUCAUGUUUGAAAUUGUCCAAACGGGCUCUGUAUGGUAAAAUUACCAUUUUUCUAGAGGCAGUGAUGAUAUUGCUAAUCUGGGAUGAUAUUCGGGGCAUGGGACAAUCUGACCAGUAGCUUGGCAGAGCAAACCCGGGUGGUUUGUGAUUGAGGCUUAUCCUUCACAUGCAACUGGCUCUUUUACAGCCAUGUCGUUGUCAGAUUCUCCUUACAACAGCAACAACAACAACAUACCCAGUGUAAUCCCAUAAGUGGGGUCUGGGAGGGUAGUGUGUAUGCAGACCUUACCCCUACCUCGCAAGGUAGAGAGGUGUUGGAUUCUCUUUGUCCCAUCUUUUUGCAGAUCUGAGGCUCCAUUUCCAACUAGUCUUUCUGGACUUUCAGGACUCGAACCUAGGAGUACCUUGUUGUAUGGAAACCCAUGUCAUUUUUGGACUAUGCAUGUUGUUGCUGCUGUUGCUGCAUCUUCUUCUGUUUCUUUUGUUCUUGAUGGUGAUGGUUGUGUUAUCAACCAAAUAGCAGAAAAUUAAUGCAAGAAGGGGAGAUUUUAUGGCUGUGAUGUUAUAAUGCUUUUUUUUAAUUAGCAAUUUGAAUUGGGUGUUGAGAUGAUAAGAACCGUAUCUUGGUAGGGUUACCAGGCGAGGUAGCAGCCAUGGCGGUUUCUGAUAAACUCAAUGCCUGAUUAAAAUUGAAAACUGAGCCUUGUCAUGUACAUGAUGUACAUGUAUAUUGUCUGUAUAUACAACACACACACAAGUAAACAAAGUGUGGUCUCUCUAACAGCUUAAUUAGAUGAGAUGAUCACACACUUCAACACACACAAAAAGAUACAUCAACAACAACAACAACAACAUACCCAAUGAAAUCACACAAAGUGGGGUCUGGGGAGGGUAGAGUGUACGCAGACCAUACCUCUACCUUGGGAGGUAGAGAGGCUGUUUCCAGCAGACCCUCGGCUUAAGGACAAAAUAGCAAGUUGAUCGACUCUGCGGGGAUCGAACCCAGAAUCUCUGUUUCCGUAGGCCAGCACCUUAUCCAUUUUGCCACAGAGUCUUUGAUACUACAUGUCCAAAAUGGUCCCUUAUCGAGGCAGUGAUGGUCUUUAAAUCUAUCCUCAUAGAAUAUCGACCCGUAUCUUGGCGAGGCAUUGACCUGGAUGCCUGUGAUUUGAUUACAUGCAACUGGGGGUAUUGCAGCCAUGGCGUGGCCGGACUUUCUUUGCCCGAGCAUAAAACAGAUCUGAGCCUCAAUUGUCACUUAUAUAUUACUCUAUUGUAUUUGGUAUGGAGGAAAAUGUUUCAGUGAGGAAGAAUGAGGCAGCAGAGAGAUGGGAAUUUCUGUGAAGGUCGGUUGCCCCUCUCUGCUAUGUCCUUAAUUUCUCCAUUUGUGAAACCAACAACCCUUUGAGAAAAACAAGAACAGGAAAAUGAUAACCAUCUCAACAACACCCCUUUGAGUAUUUACCUCUGUGAAAAAGCGGCUAUGCUCUUCCUUUCUUCUGCUUCUGCUUCUGCUGCUACCACUGCUAUCUAUGAUAAACAGCAGCCCUAAAAGUGGAUGCCUGGUGUCGUUUCUAUGUUGAUCUUCGCAGAUCACCUGAAAAUGGGCUGUGAUGAUGAUUGCUUCCUUUUGGGCUAUCUAAUUUACUGUUUUGAGAAAAUCUGACCCGUAUCUUGGCUGGGUGACCCGGUAUGGUAUCAUAUGCAAACCGGUGUCUGCAGCCAUGGCGUGUGUCGCUUUCUCUUUGCAUGUCCAUAGAUAGAAAAAUCUGAGCCCUAUAAACUCUCUUACAAAUCAGUGUGUUAACCUUCACAAAAAUGGAGGUUGAGCCCAAUAUGAGGAAAGAGGCCAACAGAGAAAAGAGAAUUCUUGGAAGGGUGGUUGCCCCCCUCUGCUUGGCCUAUGAUUUCUCCAUCAAUAAAACCAACAAUCCUAUUCAGAAGUACUACUAUUAGUCUAUUACUGUUUCUGAUUUCUCUGAGCUUAAACCAAAUAUUAUGGACAUCCUCAGCAGGUUAUCUGUGCGGUCUCUUCUUCGAUUCAAAUGUGUUUUCAAGGUUUUGGAAGACAUUAAGCUCUGAGCCUUACUUUAAGAUGAAGCAUCUCAAUCAUGCCUAGAGUAACCAAAUUCUCAAAAAGUCUUGUUAGCCAAUGGUACCUUUCUACGGACGAGUUCAACUGGUUGAAGAUGUGCAAAAGCGUGGUUGGCCUUCAAAUGGUAAACCACGGAGUUUCAAGCUUUCUGUAUAAACAAUUUCGUUCUGAAUAGUACAGAACCAAAAUGUUCGAAAAAGUUGGCAGCAGAGUAACACUUCACCAUCCAAACAUCUAUAUUUCGGCAUGGCUGAAUAAAGACCGGUAACUUGUAUAUUAAACAAAUUAUUCCAAGAUUUAUUGACACCAUAGUCUUUCAUUACUCAUAACUUAAAAGUCCUUUCCUUUACGUAAGUAGAAUAACCACAAAGCAUUCCUCCCAAUACUGAGACACCACUUUUGACGUAUGCCACGUUUAAAAUCAAGCACAAACCUUCUUGCAACAGUAUCUCUCGGUACACCUCAUUUGAAAUACUAAAUGAAACCACAAAAUUAUUCACUGACAAACCAAGCCAAUGAAAUGCUCCAUGUACAAAUGCCGAAGUGUUCAUAUUAUACUACACAUGGUAAAUGCCGGUAGGAUGUUUAUCAAUUUUUCUCCAGGAACCACUUUUCAGCACUAGAAUUUCACUGCGUGCUGUGUGAUCUCUCCAAAAUUACUUACUUGGGGAUUGGCUAAAUAUAUAGCGGGUUUAGCAAAAAUCCUCAGUUAAGCUUAGAAAGGAAGAAUGAGACAUCAGAGAGAUGGGAUUUUCUGUGAAGGGUGGUUGCCCCUCUCUGCUAUGUCCAUGAUUUCUCCAUUCACAAAACCAACAACCCUCUGGGAAAAGAAAAACAAGAAAGGGAAAAUGAUAAACCAUGAUACCACUGCUAACUAUGAUAAGUAGCAGCCCUGGUGUCAUUUCUGCGUUGAUCUUCGCAGAUCACCUGAAAAUGGGCUGUGAUGAUGAUUGCUUCUUUCUGGGCUAUCUAGUUUACUGCUUUGAGAAAAUCUUACCUGUAUCUUGGCUGGGCGACCCGGUAUGGCAUCGUCUGCAAACCGGUGUCUGCAGCCAUGGCGUGUCACGUUCUCUUUGCAAGAUCAUAUAUAGCAAAAUCUGAGCCCUAAAGAAGUCUUUUGCACAACAAUGAGAAUUUUCCCAGAAGGAAGAAUGAGGCCAACAGAGAGAAAAAUGAUUUCUUGGAGGGUGGUUGAUCUCUCUGGUUGGCCUAUAAUUUCUCCAUUAAAAGAAAUUACUUUUUCCUUCACUAAUGUACCCUUGAUCGGCCAUGGCAAGAGCAAAAGAACUUGGGAAUUGAGCAUUGUGCUAUAUAUAUUAGUGUCUUAGCAGAACCCUCACCAUAGUUUAACCCAGAAAGUAAGAAUGAGACAUCAGAGAGAACAUGGGAUUUCUGUAAAGGGUGGUUGCCCUCUGUCUGCUAUAUGUCCAUGAUUCUUUCUCCAUUCAUAAAAGAAAACCAACAGCUCUUUGAGAAAACAGUAAAAGAAACCAUAUAUGCAUUUGGGCAUAGAUUCCAAAUAUUUUUUGCUUCUGCUACUACUGCAGCUGAUUUUCGCAAAUAUCCACUUUUUAAGUAAGUUAUUGCGUGGAUUCCAAAGAUUUGAGGGACAAAAAUUAAAGACCACCACCAAAAUAGGGGCAUUUGUGCGAAUGACCCAUUUUUGAGAGUUUGGAACCUAAAUGACGUGAAAAAAAGGGCUCUGAUGAUGAAUUGCUUCUUUCUGGGCUAAUAAUCUACUUUACUCGCUGCUUUUGAGAAGAUCCGACCCGUAUCUUGGCGUGGCGACCCGGUACGACAUCCAUGUGCAAACCGGUGUCUUGCAGCCAUGGCGUGUGUUGGUUUCUCUUCGCAUGUUCAUUUACAGAAAAUCUGAGAGAAAAUGACAAAAAUGAUCCUUUAUCUUUGAGGGUAGGUUCAGAAUAGUCCCUUAAGUAUGCACUUAACAGUUUUGGUCCUUUAUGUUUUUCAAAAGUUUAACACUUUUAGUGUCCGUCAAAUCUUUAUCGAACUCUGUCGGUUAGAUUUGACGGAAACAGUGGGGAAAAAAAAGACUUAAACUAUAAAUUUCUUCAAACAUAAGGGACCAUUUUGUCAAAAUCUGACAUGUAUCUUGGCGGGUCGACCUGGUAUGGCAACAUUUGCAACCCGCUGUCUGCAGCCAUGGCGUGUGUCGCUUUCUCUUUGUAUGUUCGUACACAAGCAAAGUGUGAGCCCUAAAAAUUUGUUCGUCAGGGAAUUCAUUCUUUACUCAUCAGAUGGUUGAGCUUGGCUAUAUCUUGGCAUGGCAUCUUUUUGGAGUCUUGUGAGAUAUGGGAACUAUUAGGUUUCUGUGUCUCACAAAGGCUUCUUAAGCUUGCAGCCAUAGUUGGGUUUAGCUUAUGUCUGAGAAAAAGUUAAUCUUUGUGCCCAAGGAAUGAGGCUUUUUAUGGAACUCGAGAAAGGUUGAGAUUUUCUAAGGGUGGUUAUUCUCUUUCUCUGAAGUUCAAUUUAGCCGAUGAAUUUUCCAGUACUUUUGUUACCAAAAGAAAGAUUAACAACCCUUUCAUCAACUAAUGUCAAUUAUGCUCUUGAUGAUGAUGAUGAUGAUGAUGAUUCCGUGGCUUGGCUAUGGUAACCAUAAGGGAAAAUACAUAUUCAACCCCCCAAACUUUUUCAGGAAAUCCUGAUUCCUAAACCCUGAACUUUGUAAUGAGGCUGUGAUGACACUCUCUUGGAAGCUUGAAAAUCAGAUUUUUUAGCUGAUUAGCAUCUUGGCUAGGAGAAGGCAGCAGAAUUGGUGAGGUAGGUUUAUGUGCUUCUCCCAAUGGCGUCUGCUUUUUGCAGCCAUGGGUAGGCAAAUCUGAGCCUCCUUUCUGUGUGGAGCGACAUGGUUAGCAGGUGAGUUUGUUUUUUCUGCUCUUGUGCAAUUGUACAGAAGAGGCAGCAAUGAUGAUGUUUCACUUUCUGGACUAGAUGAAUCUGGACAUUGGACAAUUUGACCUGUAUCUUGGCCUGGCAAAUCAGUGGAUGGUUGGCAUUUGAGAUUCUCUCUUUUACCAUCAAGAUCAUAUUUGAGCCUCAAAUUUCUGGGAAUUGAACUUGGGUCCUCUUGUUCUUUGAAAUCCUUAAGAACUCAAGGAUAGAGUGGUACGAGCCAAUAGAACAGAUCCUGUUCAAUUAAGGUCGUCAUUAAGUUUAACAGAUCUUUUCUCCUGUUCUUGCUGCUGUUGGACUAUUUUAUGAAUCAAGCAGCAAGAAGUCAAUGUAAGAACAGGGAGACUUUAUUGCUGUGAUGGUAAUGCCUUUUUCUAUUUUGAGCAACUGAGUUAGCCGCUGAGAUGAUAAGAGCCGUAUCUUGGAGGGGUAUCGUGGGAAGGUUGCAUCCAUGGCGGUUUCUGAUUAAACCCACUGCCUGAUUGUUAUGUGCAUGAUGUGCAUGUAUAUUAUCUAUGUACAUACCAACACACACACAUGCAUACCUAUCAUGAGAAAAUGUCAAAAAUGGUCCCUUAUCGAUCCUCCCGAGCCAGUAAUUGAGCAUAGAGAGUACCUGACAUGUAUAUUGGCGGGGCAAUGACCCAGAUACGUGUGAUUGUUACACGCAAUUGGGGAAUCUGCAGCCAAGGCGUGGCCGGACUUUCUUUGCCUGAGAAUAAAUACAGAUCAGAGCCUCAAUUGUAACUUACACAGUCAGACAUCUCUAUAACAACAUUUCACUGUAUUAUAUGUUCUCUAUGUCAGCAGUACGCUAUAUCAGCCAAAAUAUAUCAGGACAAACAAUGCUGCUAUAGUGAGGUUUGAUUGUAUCUUUUGGUAUUUUUGGCAUGGAGGGAACUAUUUCAGUGAAGUAGUCAUUUCAACAAAUAAGACCUUCGACAUGAUUCCGUAAUUUGGGAGGUCCAAAAGGAUCAGGGCUCUAUAAAUAUGAAGCAGAAGGUGAAACGAAAAUGGAAAAAUCUCAUUAGUUUAAGUCUGAGGCUGAUUCAGAGAGUUGCGGGGAGUUGUUCGAGUGGUUGCCCCCCUGUCAUUCUUAGCAGCCAAUGAUCACUCAAAUUUUCCCAAUUUCAAACCACUCUCUAGCAAAAUAAGUUCAAUGAGGCAGUGAUGAUUUCAUUCUAUACUCAUCAGAUGGUUGAGCCUUGCUAUAUCUUGGUGUGGCAGCUUUUGGGGGGUUUUGUGAGAUAUUGGAGCUAUUUUGGUUUUUGCGUCUGACAAAGGCUCCUUAAGCUUGCAGCCAAGGCGGGGUGUAGCUUAUGUCUGAGAGAAGGCGAAUCUGAGCCUUCCUAAAAUAUCUUUUAUAGUUCAAAUGAGACUUUUUAUGGAACUCGAGGAAGGUUGAGAUUUUUAUGGAAUUUCAGACUUUGUUUAAGAUCUGAUUUGGUCAGAUGUAAUAAGAUCUAUUAAGAGGUUGUAUCUUAAAAAAAAAAAAAAAAAACACAUUUAAUGGGCUGACAUCUGAACCAUUCAGAUUCAGACUCUCACUAAGUGCAAACAAAUGAGGCCUAAAUAUCUUUUAUUGUUCAAAAUGAGGUUUUUAUGGAACUCGAGGAAGGUUGAGAUUUUCUGAGGGUGGUUACUCUCUUUCUCUGAAGUUCCAUUUAGCCGAUGAAUUUUCCAGUACUUUUGUUACAAAGAGAAAGAUUAACAACCCUUUCAUCAGCUAAUGCCAAUUAUGCUCUUGAUGAUGAUGAUGAUGAUGAUUCUAGCCAUGGUUAUGGUGGAAAAUACAUAUUCUUCCAACCUAAACUUUUCCGGAAAGCCCGAAUCUUAAACCCUAAACUUUGUGAAUAAGGCUGUGAUGAUAUUCUCAAGUAAGAUUUAUAAUCAGAUUUUUGAGCUGAUUCGGAUCUUGACUAGGCAAAGGCAGGGGAAUUUGUGAGGUUGGUUCUUAUGCGCUCUCACAAAGGCCUCCGCUUUUUGCAGCCAUGGCGAAUUAGCCCCUUUUCUGAUAUAAUUUUAGGCUAAUCUGAGCCUCUUUUCUGUGUUAUGGUUAGUUCUACAAUGAGUGGUCCUUUUGUUUAGUUCUGUUCAUGUUCUUUCUUCUGUUUUUGAAUAAUCUAUAUAUCUGUAUGGAGAUGAAUAAACACCAGCACUUUGUAUCUUAAACAAUUUAUUCCAAGAUUUCUUGACACCAUAGUCUUUCAUUACCCAUAACUUAAAAGUAUCCACCCCCCAUGAGUAUAAGUAGAAUAACCACAAAGCCCUCCUCCAAAUACUGAGAUUGAUCUGAAAUUGGGCUGUGAUGAUGAUUUGCUUCUUUCUGGGCUAUAAUCUACUUCACCGCGUUGAGAAAAUACGCCCCGUAUCUUGGCAGGGCGACUCGGUAUGGCAUCCAUUUGCGAACCGGUGUCUGCAGCCAUGGCGAUGUUGCUUUCUCUUUGCUUGUUUGUAGAACAGCAAAAUCUGAGCCCUAAAGUGGGCAUAUAUGAUUAGAAAUGCUAUUGGAAGGGACUGAACCUCCGACCUUGUGGUUAAUAACCACGCGCUCUAACCAACUGAGAAAUGAUAAAUAAAUAAAUCUAUGACGGGGCUAUAUGAUGAAAUUCUUCUUAGAAAAUGCAAUGAAGCUUUCAGAUAAUUUGAGCCGUAGCAUGGAAAAGCGACCUGUUAGCGUCUAUUGUAACAUGCUAAAGGUUUGCAGCCAUCACGGUGCUGAAUCCGUGAUGCCAAUGAUUUCUUUGUUGCUCUGAUCAAUAGCUCCUUUUUGUAGGUUUUUGCUGUCUACAGUGGAUGGAAUUUCAACCCAGAAUAAAGAAUGAGGUCAACAGGGAGGGUGGUUGCCCUCUCUGCUAGGCCUAUGAUUUCUCCAUCUACCAACCAACAACCCUCUUCAGAAAAAAACAGGCAAGUAUGUUUGGUGAUUCUGAUAGUCGAGAUACUAUCUUUUUGAGCUUAAGCCUUGAGGCAAUGUUUUUGGUCCAAAACAUCCCCAGAUCUGAAGGUUGCGUUUGUUUGAUGAGAAUUUUUUAACAUGUCCAAAUGGCUCCUAGAACUAUGGAAAAGUUGCCAUUUCUCUAAAGAGGUAAUGAUGAUACUGCUAAUCCCUGCUGAAGUUCAGGGCAUGGAGACAGUCCGACCCGUAUCUUGGCAGGGCAAACCUGGAUGGCUUGGGAUUGAGGCCUUCUCUUUCACAUGCAACCGGCUGCUUGCAGCCAUGGCGUGUUGUUGUCUACUCUUUGCCCCAUUUUACGCAGAUCUGAGCCUCAAUAUCCAACUAGUACAUCUGGAUUUUUUGGGUCUCGAACCCAGAAUCUCUCGUUUGGUGAAAAACAUUUGGGUUAUUCAAUUUUUCUUGAACACCUUCUUGCUGUUCUCCAUCAAACUAGCUCAAAGAAUUGAGGCAAUUGGAGAAAAAAAAAAGGGAUCUUUUAGGGUGGUUGACCAUCUCCAACAUUCCUAUGAUUUCUCUCCUCUUUAAGUUCUCACAAACAGCUCUUUUUGUUUGUGUGUCUUUUUAUUCUCAUUAAGGACCAUUUUGAUAUUUUCUUUUGAUAUGGUGUACAAUUAUCGUACAACUGCGGAGACCCAAAGUACCGCAUUGAGUGCAGAUUUUCAUCACCGCAAACUCAAAGGGAAUGCACCAGCGGGGAAUCGAAAUAGGUCUGUUCUGCGGCAGGGUACUAUCUACCACUAGACCACUGGGUAAAUGCCAGCAGGAUGUUUAUCAUUUUUCUCCAGGAACCACAUUUCAGCGCUAGAGUUUCAUUGCGUGUUGCGUGAUCAAUCAAUCAUAAGGAUCUUAUAGUCAUCACUAGUUGAGUCAUACCCCAAUCAGCAAGUACAAAAUUCCUUCGCUGAAAAUUUUGGAUGGGGAAGAACUGUUGAUUCUCUUGUGGAGGGGUUCCAUAGCAAAAGUAUGUUGUGCUUAUUAAGCCCGGAAAGGAAGAAUGAGUCGUCAGAGAGAUGGGAUUUAAAGGUGGUUGCCCCUCUCUGCUAUGUCCAUGAUUUCUCCAUUCGUAAAACCAACAACCCUUUGAGAAAAAAAAAAAAAAAAAGGUACAUGAUAAACCAUCUAAUAACACACCCCUUGAAUAUUUACCUCUGUAAAGAAAGGGGAUAUGCUCUUCCUUCCUCUGCUUCUGCUGCUACCACUACUAUCUAUGUUAAGUAGCAGCCCUAAAAGUAGAUACCUGGUGUCCAAGUUACCAGUUUCAAAAAAACAAAGUAGAUACCUGGUGUCAUUUCUACAUUGAUCUUGCAGAUCACCUGAAAAUGGGUUGUGAUGAUGAUUGCUUCUUUCUGGGCUAUCUAGUUUACUGCUUUGAGAAAAUAUUUACCCUAUCUUGGUGGGCUAGCCCGAUAUUGCAUCGUCUGCAAACCGGUGUCUGCAGCCAUGGCGCGUCACUUUCUCUUUACAUGAUCAUAUACAGCAAAAUCUGAGCCCUAAAGAAGGCAAAUAUCUGUUGCCGCCAAUGUGAUACUGAUAGCAAUAGUAUAUCCUCCGUCCAUUUUAUGUCUUGAAACUGUUCAUAAAUUACUAUGCCAAAGUUCCCAUUAUCCUAGAGGCAGUGAUGAUAUCGCUAAUCUGGGCUGAUAUUUGGGGCAUGGAGAAACCCCGACUCGUAUCUUGGGCUAGCUCGGAUCAUUCGAUCAUGCAGCCAUGGCAUUGUCAUUUCCCUUUGCCCCAUUUUACACAAACAGGGAAAUGAUGAAAAUCUAUGGUGUAGUGGCUAGCACUCUGGACUUUGAAUGCGACCUGGGUUCGACUCCCAGUAGGACCUGAGUUCUUAAUAUAAAUGUCACACUGGCUACGGUGGUGUCGUUGUUGAUAAUGCUUUUUUUGAGCAAUUUGAAUUCGGCGUUGAGAUGAUAAGAGCCGUAUCUUGGCGGGGUAACCAGGAAGAUAGCAGCCAUGGCGGUUUUUGGUAAAGUCAGUGCUUGAUUAAAUUGGCAUCUGAGCUUCGUUACGUACAUGGUGCACAUGUAUAUUCUCUGUCUUUUACAUACACUCACAAAAACGUACAUAUCAUGAGAAAAUGUCCAAAAUAAUCCCUUAUGUAGGUACUGAUGAUCUUUCAACCAGAUCUUCUGAGCUAGUAAUUGAGCAUUGAGAGUACGUGACUGUAUCUUGGCGGGGCAAUGACCAGGAUGCAUGUGAUAUUGUUGCAUGCAACUAGAGGUAUUUGCAGCCAUGGUGUCACUGAGCUUUCUUUGCCUGAGCAUAAAUAUACAGAUCUACAACAGCAUACCCAGUGUAAUCCCACAAUGUGGGGUGUAGGGAAAAGAAUGUUUCUAGUCAGACUCGGACCCGCAACAAUGCACUAUACAUUAUGCCCUUCGGUCGCUACGCUGAAUGUCAUAUUGUAAAAAUUAUGGGGUGAGAGAGGCUCAAGCUCUCGACCUCAGGAUUACUGGCAAAGCUAUGAGACCCAUGUGCUAGCCAAGUGCGCCACCACCCCAGCGGUGAACAGUCACCAUUUGAUACGUCUGCCAAGUCGAACCCGGGUCUAUUGCUUGGAAGGCAAUUAUCCUAACUGUUGGACUGCAAACGCCUGGAUCAUAAAUAUAUACAGAUCUGAGCCUCAGAUUCCCUUUAUAUUUUACUUUGGGUGUAUUGAUAUGGAUGAAACUAUUGCAGUGAAUAGAUGAAGCAGAAGGUGCAACGCAAAAUGAUAAACAUCUCAUUAGUUUAAGUCUGAGGCUUCGGGAUUCAGAGAGUUGGGCGAGUUGACAAGUUGUUUGAGUGGUUGCCCCUCUCUUUCAUUCUCAGCAGCCAAUGAUCACUCAAAGUUUCCCAAUUUCAAACCACUCUUUAGCAAAAUAAGUUCAAUGAGGCUGUGAUGAUUUUCAUUCUUUGCUCAUCAGAUGGUUGAGCUUUGCAAAUAUCUUGGCAAGGCAGCUUUUGGGGGGUCUUGUGAGAUAUGCAAGCUAUUUAAGUUUCUGGUCUCACAAAGGCUUCUUUAGCUUGCAGCCAUGGCAGGGUUUAGCUUAUGCGGAGAAAAGGCGAAUCUGAGCCUCUCAAAUUUCUCUUUGUGUUCAAAGGAUGUGGUUUUAUUGAACUCGAGAAAGGUUGAGAUAUUUUAAGGGUGGUUAAUCUCUUUCUCUGAAUUUCAAUUUAGCCAAUGAAUUUUCCUGUACUUCUGUUAUAAAACAGCACUUUAAGAGAAUAUACAUACUUUGGCCCCCUAAACUUUUCCAGAAAACCCGAAAUCCUGAACCCCAAACUUUGUGAAUGAGGCUAUGAUGAUAUUCUCUAGGAAGCUUGUAAGUCAGAUUUUUGAGCUGAUUCAUAUCUUGGUUAGGCAAAGGCAAGAGAAUUUGUGAGGUUGGUUCUUAUGUGCUCUCACACAAAAGGCCUCUGCUUUAUGCAACCACGGUGGAUUAGACUUUUUCUGAUAGAUCAAAUCUGAGCCUCUUUUCUGUGUUAACUUUAGUUCUACAAUGGGUGGUCUGUUUAUUUCGUCCUUUACCUUCUUUUUGUUUUUGAUGAAAUCGUCCUUUACUUCUUUUUAUGAUCAUGUUGUAUAGUAUUGGUUUGAGCGGAGUCUAAAUGGAGUGACAUGAUCAGUGACGAUUUAUAAUGUUGAUCCCAGCUUGUUUGGGACUGAGACGUUAUUGUUAUGUUCUUUUUAUAUUCAUAUUCUUUCUGCUACUUUUGCAUUAAUAGCAGGAAGAAUCCAAGUUUCAAAAGAAAACCAUAUGUGUUUAUCUACCCAUUCUCCUGGAGUGAAAUUAUUAGCUACUGAUAUGAAACAAGACCAAACGGAAUGACUGAAUAUUGAGGAUUCAUAUACCUGUCCUUAACCAGUUUGAUACCAAAGCUAUUUGGCAAAUUUAUCUACAAAAUUUUCCAGACUUUCAUGCCUCAUUUCGAUAUUGAAAUCCCAAGUUUCAGAGGCAGUGAAGAUUAUGCAUAAUGAAAAGGAAAAGUGAAAAUAUUGUUGAUUCAUGCCCUGGCUUGGCAAGACCAAUCGGAAGGUCUUUCUUAUAAGGCAACCAAUGAUUGCAGCCAUGACAUUGCUAACCCUGCUAUUUCCUUUGAUUAAAUAGGCGAAAAUCUGAGCCUCAUCCUCAACUUGGUUUAUUUACUUUUUUUUUUUUUUGACUAGUCUUUCUAGAAACAAUUUAAACUAGAUUUUUUUUGCGUGGUUCUUUGGUCUAUUAUUUUGAAUUCAGACUCUCUUCUGUUCUGUGUGGUUACUGGUUUGCUAAAGAUCGGAGAUAGUUAUGGUGUCUCCGAUUCCCCAAGAUCAUCUGUCUUUGUGCAGAGCCAGAUUCCUACUUUUGUUGGCCUUUUUUUCUUCCUAAUUUCAUUUUCUAAUGUAAUUAUUAUCCCAGUUGAAGCUGUAGUUUCUUGGAGCCCUACUCUUAACGUUCAAGACUAUUUUAACUCUUGGGACUUGAGACUAUGUUGAUACAAGUUUUAAGCUGGUGCGUACAGUCUUCGACGAGUACAUGCAGCAGUUCAAGAGACUCCUGAUAGCCCAACACGUUGAAAUGAAGAAAUCCGGUCCGGUCAGUUCAAGAACUAAACAUAUCCAGCAGCUGAUUGAACUUAGCAUUCUAAGAUUCUUGGAUUUUUUUGUGGUACGGUAUGAGCAUAGCGUUGAUGUCCAGUUGGCUUGAAUUUGUAAACCUUUGCUAACACCGUGAGUUUGCCUUGAAAAUGUAUUUGCGAUUUGUAUAGGGGCAAGCAUCUAGAUUUUAGAUACUUUUCAGCGAUGUUAGUUUCAUUUCUUAUUCCUGUUCAUUUUGUCUUUAUUAGGAAAGUGAAAGACACGAUGAAGAAGAUGUUGGACUUGAAUUCAGUCCGUGAGCUGCUUGGAUGGUUAACAUAUUGUUUCAUAGUGUAUCAUAUUAUAUUGUAUUGUGUCGUUUGAUGAAUAUAA